GUAGGGGAGCGAGCGUUAUCCGGAAUUAUUGGGCGUAAAGCGUGCGUAGGCGGUUUAUUAAGUCUGAUGUGAAAUCCCCCGGCUCAACCGGGGAGGGUCAUUGGAAACUGGUAAACUUGAGUACAGUAGAGGCAAGUGGAAUUCCAUGUGUAGCGGUAAAAUGCGUAGAUAUAUGGAGGAACACCAGUGGCGAAGGCGGCUUGCUGGGCUGGAACUGACGCUGAGGCACGAAAGCGUGGGGAGCAAACAGGAUUAGAUACCCUGGUAGUCCACGCCGUAAACGAUGGGUACUAAGUGUUGGCAGAGAUGUCAGUGCUGUAGUUAACGCAUUAAGUACCCCGCCUGGGGAGUACGGUCGCAAAGACUG
rnacentral:rRNA from 1 species